rnacentral:rRNA from 1 species
AACGAACGCUGGCGGCAGGCCUAACACAUGCAAGUCGAGCGAGCAUUUCGGUGCUAGCGGCGGACGGGUGAGUAACGCGUGGGAACGUGCCCUUUUCUGCGGAAUAGUCCUGGGAAACUGGGGGUAAUACCGCAUACGCCCUUUUGGGGAAAGAUUUAUCGGAGAAGGAUCGGCCCGCGUUGGAUUAGGUAGUUGGUGGGGUAAUGGCCCACCAAGCCGACGAUCCAUAGCUGGUUUGAGAGGACGAUCAGCCACACUGGGACUGAGACACCGCCCAGACUCCUACGGGAGGCAGCAGGGGGGAAUCUUAGACAAUGGGGGCAACCCUUAUCUAGCCAUGCCGCGGGAGUGGUGAAGGCCUUAGGGUUGUAAAGCUCUUUCAGCUGGGAAGAUAAUGACGGUACCAGCAGAAGAAGCCCCGGCUAACUCCGUG